rnacentral:rRNA from 1 species
AGGUUGGUCCGCUUUUUGAGCGAGUAUCAAAACCCGCCCCGGCAUCACUGUGGGGAGUGUCAAUAUGCUUGAUUGCAUAUAGCGCAAGUCGCAGCUUUUACUUUGAGGAAAAUAGAGUGUUCACGGCAGGUCAAAGCCUCGAAUAUAUUAGCACGGAAUAAUGUUAUAGGACUCAUGUUCUUAUUUUGUUGGUUUCAGGAGCUAGAGUAAUGGUCGAUAGGGAUUGCUGGGGGCAUUUGUAUUAACGCGUCAGAGGUGGAAUUCUUGGAUUGCGUUACGACAAACUACUGCGAAAGCAUUUGUCAAGAAUGUUUUCAUUGAUCAAGAACGAAAGUAUGGGGAUCGAAGAUGAUUAGAUACCGUCGUAGUCUAUACCAUAAGCUAUGCCGACUAGGGAUUGGAGGUCGUUCUAUCUGUGACCCCUUCAGCACCUUACGAGAAAUCAGAGCCUUUGGGUUCCGGGGGGGGUAUGGUCGCAAGGCUGAAACUUAAAGGAAUUGACG